UGAACACUUAAUUUUUGACAAAAUUCAAAACUAUACAGUUGAAAAAAGAAAACAUCUUCAACAAAUGGUGCUGGUAUAACUGGAUAUCAACAUGUAGAAGACUGCAAAUAGAUCCAUAUCAAUCUCCAUGUACAAAACUCAAGCCCAAGUGGACCAAAGACCUCAACAUAAAUCCAGUUACUCUGAAUCUCACAGAAGAUAAAGAAGGAAAUAGCCUUGAAUGCAUUGACACAGGAGGCCACUUCCUAAAUUGAACACCAGUAGCACAGACACUGAGAACAACAAUUAUUAAAUGGGAUCUCCUGAAACUGAGAAGCUUUUAUAAGGCAAACGACACGGUCAAUAAGACAAAAGGACAGCCUAGAGAAUGGGAAAAGAUCUUCAUCAAUCCCACAUCUGACAGAGGGCUUAUCUCCAAAAUAUAUAAAGAAUUCAAGACACUAGACAUCCAAAAUACCAAACAAUCCAAUUAAAAAAUGGGCUGCAGAAGCAAACAGAGAAUUCUCAAGAGAAGAAUCACAAAUGGCCAAAAGACAUUUAAGGAAUUGCUCAACAUCCUUAGUCAUCUGGGAACUGCAAAUCAAAACACUGAGAUACCAACUUACAUCGCUCAUCAUGGCUAAAAUAAAUACACUGAUAACAAAUUUUGUUGGAGAGCAUGUGAAGCAAGGGGAAUACUUCUCCAUUUUUUUGUGGGAGUGCAAACUUGUACAGACACUUUGAAAAACAGUAUGGUGGUUUCUCAAAAAUGGGGAGUCUAUCUACAUCAGGACACAGCAUUAUAACUCUUGGGUAUAUACCUAAGGAAAGCUCUAUCAUACUACAAGGACACGUGCUCAACUAUGUCAUAGCAGCAUUGAUCAUAAUACCAGAACCUGGAAACAAGCUAGGUGCCCUUCAACUGAAGAAUGGAUAAAGAAAAUAUGGUCCAUAUACACAAUAGAAUACUACUCAGCAUGAAAAAAGUGACAUCAUGAAAUUUGCAGGAAAAUGGAUGGAACUAGAAAAUAUCAUCCUUACUGAAGUAACCCAGACUCAGAAGGAUAAACAUGAUCAACUUUUUUGGUGACAGCUGCAUAUGAGAUAAGACAAAGAAUCAGGGAAAAUAUCAGACAUUGGAAGAGACAGGAGCCCUUCAUCCAGGAAUUUGCUUAAAUUCUCUCUCUAUUUGAGAGUCAAUAAUUCCAGUACAAUUAACUAUCGCCUAAGACCUUUCUCCUUUCCCAGUUAUUAACUAACAGUUUAAUAAUUUCACUAGAAAUGCCACUUACAAUAAAAGACAUGUUGUAAACGC